UCCCUGAUGGUCUAGUGGUUAGGAUUUGGAGCUUUCACUGCUGCAACCUGGGUUUGAUUCCUUGUCAGGGAA
rnacentral:tRNA from 1 species